GCGCGAAAACUUUACAAUGCUGGCAACAGCGAUAAGGGAACCUCGAGUGCCAGGUUACAAAUCUGGCUGUCGAGAUGCCUAAAAAGCAUUUCAUAGCAAGGGCCGGGCAAGACCGGUGCCAGCCGCCGCGGUAACACCGGCGGCUCGAGUGGUAACCGUUAUUAUUGGGUCUAAAGGGUCUGUAGCCGGCCGGAUAAGUCUCUUGAGAAAUCUGGCAGCUUAACUGUCAGGCUUUCAGGAGAUACUGUCUGGCUCGAGGCCGGGAGAGGUGAGAGGUACUUCAGGGGUAGGGUGAAAUCUUGUAAUCCUUGAAGGACCACCAGUGGCGAAGGCGUCUCACCAGAACGGACCUGACGGCAAGGGACGAAAGCUAGGGGCACGAACCGGAUUAGAGACCCCG
rnacentral:rRNA from 1 species